rnacentral:rRNA from 1 species
AGCGAACGCUGGCGGCAGGCUUAACACAUGCAAGUCGAGCGGGCACUUCGGUGUCAGCGGCAGACGGGUGAGUAACACGUGGGAACGUACCCUUUGGUUCGGAAUAACGCUGGGAAACUAGCGCUAAUACCGGAUACGCCCUUUUGGGGAAAGGCUUGCUGCCGAAGGAUCGUCCCGCGUCUGAUUAGCUAGUUGGUGGGGUAAUGGCCUACCAAGGCGACGAUCAGUAGCUGGUCUGAGAGGAUGAUCAGCCACACUGGGACUGAGACACGGCCCAGACUCCUACGGGAGGCAGCAGUGGGGAAUAUUGGACAAUGGGCGCAAGCCUGAUCCAGCCAUGCCGCGUGAGUGAUGAAGGCCUUAGGGUUGUAAAGCUCUUUUGUCCGGGACGAUAAUGACGGUACCGGAAGAAUAAGCCCCGGCUAACUUCGUG